rnacentral:rRNA from 1 species
AAUGGGUCAGCGACUUAUAUUCUGUAGCAAGGUUAACCGAAUAGGGGAGCCGAAGGGAAACCGAGUCUUAACUGGGCGUUAAGUUGCAGGGUAUAGACCCGAAACCCGGUGAUCUAGCCAUGGGCAGGUUGAAGGUUGGGUAACACUAACUGGAGGACCGAACCGACUAAUGUUGAAAAAUUAGCGGAUGACUUGUGGCUGGGGGUGAAAGGCCAAUCAAACCGGGAGAUAGCUGGUUCUCCCCGAAAGCUAUUUAGGUAGCGCCUCGUGAAUUCAUCUCCGGGGGUAGAGCACUGUUUCGGCAAGGGGGUCAUCCCGACUUACCAACCCGAUGCAAACUGCGAAUACCGGAGAAUGUUAUCACGGGAGACACACGGCGGGUGCUAACGUCCGUCGUGAAGAGGGAAACAACCCAGACCGCCAGCUAAGGUCCCAAAGUCAUGGUUAAGUGGGAAACGAUGUGGGAAGGCCCAGACAGCCAGGAUGUUGGCUUAGAAGCAGCCAUCAUUUAAAGAAAGCGUAAUAGCUCACUGGUCGAGUCGGCCUGCGCGGAAGAUGUAACGGGGCUAAACCAUGCACCGAAGCUGCGGCAGCGACGCUUAUGCGUUGUUGGGUAGGGGAGCGUUCUGUAAGCCUGCGAAGGUGUGCUGUGAGG